GGAAGUAAAAGUCAACAAGGUUUCCGUAGGUGAACCUGCGGAAGGAUCAUUAUUGUAUAACCGAGGUGCGAGGGCUGUCGCUGACCCGAAAGGUCGUGCACGCCCGAGUGCCCUCACACACAUCCAUCUCACCCCUAUGUGCACCACCGCGUGGGUCCCCCUUUGGCUUGUUCGGAGGGGGGCUUACGUUUUCACACAAACUUUGUAUGCAGUGUAGAAUGUAUUUUUUGUUUUUGCGAUCACGCAAUCAAUACAACUUUCAACAACGGAUCUCUUGGCUCUC
rnacentral:misc_RNA from 1 species